AAGAAGAAGAAGAAGAAGAAGAAGAAGAAGAAGAAGAAGAAGAAGAAGAAGAAGACGACAACGACCUAGGCGUUAUACACUUGAAAGUGGUAUUUUAAAUGAGGCUCUUUCUCCGAACCAGUUGUCUGGAGGUGAACCCAGAAGUCAUCAGCCAAGAUUCAGAAAGCACCCGAUGAACAGAGCUUGGGUUUGGAAAUCAGUGCAUGGAAGACAGGCACCAGCUGAUUCUCGUUUUGGAACAUCAGCAAGACAGAAGCACCUCCCAUGCUUUGUUGAUGGUAUAGGUAGAGAUUUGUUUGCUAAAGCUCUCAGCACAUCCUUAGCCAAUGCAUUCCUUAAUAAUGAUAAGGUUAUGAUAUGCAAGGCAUUGUGCUAAAAGAUAAGAUAUUAGGUCGGCUUGUGGAACACACCCAUAAUCCCAGCACUCUAAGAGGAGAAACGGAAGGAUUGCAAAUUUGAGGUCAAUUCCGGCUACAUAGCAAAUUCCAGGUCGUUCUGGGUGACCUGAUUAGACCCAGUCAAGAACAACAACUCAAAAGAUAUGAUCUCAUUCCUCAAAGAGUUGAGACGGGAGGAAAUGAUCUGAUGAGCUUUCAGUCUUGCUCCAUUCGAGCCUUGCUCAGGGGACAUUUGUAGAGAGCCUUUGUUCCCAUAGAAAUGUAUAUGGAAAUAUCAAGGUUGAUGUUGGAUGGUUUGACAGAGAAACCACACUGGGGAAAUGGAGCGCUUUGAAAUCAGGUCACCUAGAAAAAAAAAUUCUACAAAGUCAAAGCUGAAAUGAAGCUAGCAGUUUUUAGGCCCUUCUCACAGUCUGACUUACUGAAUUCUCUUCCCACCUUAAAAAAAAAAAACAACUAAGAAAAGCACUUCUUUCUGUAUAUAUCUCUUUAAAGUUUGUUUGAGUAUCUUACUAUUUUUUGUAGUGCACACAUAGAUCUCAAGUUUUAAGUGGCCUUUUUAUAACUGCAGCUGGAAGAGAGAGAGAGAAAAAAAGCCACCAGCAGCUCGGUGUGUUAGUGCCAAAUCUGGUUCUUUUAAAUGCCAUGGCUCUCAUCCAGCAGGAGACACCACUGUACAGUGGAGCUAAGCAGGAAAAAGAUGGAGAAAAUGCCUAAUUAUUAGCUUGUGUUAAAGAUAAACCUGUUUCAAGUAGAUCCUUCUUGAUUCAGAAGAAAGGCUUCCCAUUGUUCCCUAAGUCAUGUUCAUCUCCCUGCCGUGCCUUCGACCGAAUGUGCUCACGGUUUUAAAGGUCAGCCGCCAACAACCCAUAUUACGCUUAAGCACAUCUGAAGGGAGUUGAGUUAGCAUGCCCUUUGCAUAUUUUUGCCAAAAGUAACCCGUAUGAUUGAAAUCCCUCUUUUCCAAUUUUAUGGAGUACAAAACACACAUGGUUAAGAAAUUACACCAAGUGCCACCAGUGUAAACAACAGAAAAAGAAAAUGGAAUAAGAAAAGCUUAUUCUGCCUGUAUCAUGCUGCCAUCAAGAUGCAUGGAAUUGACAUUCACCUGCCGAUGUCCUUAAGUAUUCAGAACUUUCCCUAGUGCUAUCAUUUUUAAGACACUUGGCACAGUGGUGAGCAUGCAGUUUCUCAUUUAGAAUCUGCAUCUCAGCCCACACCAAAUCAUCUUGUACCUGUUCAGGUUCUUUGCUCUGUGUGAGAUUGUAUUUCCUGAUUUAAAAAAAAUAAAAAUAAAGUGUGCAUGUUGA